CUUCUUGAAUUUAUUGGAAGUCGUGCCUGCUCACUGAAUAAAUUAUUAAAGAGCCGCGGUAUUUUGACCGUGCAAAGGUAGCAUAAUCAUUAGUCUCUUAAUUAGGGGCUGGGAUGAAUGGUUUGACGAAAUAAUAGCUGUCUUUUUCAUAAAAUUUUGAAGUUUACUUUUAAGUUAAAAGGCUUAAAUAAUUAUAGGGGACGAGAAGACCCUAUAGAUCUUUAUUUACUAUUUAUUAAUUUAUUUUUGGUUGAUUUAUUGGUUAGUUUUUAGUAAAUUUUAUUGGGGUGAUAUAAGAAUAGAUUGAACUUCUUGUUAAUUAAUACUUUAAUUUUUGGUUAUUUUGAUCCUUUAUUAUGGAUUUAAGAUUAAGAUACCUUAGGGAUAACAGCGUAAUUUUAUUUGAGAGUUCAUAUCGACAAUAAAGAUUGCGACCUCGAUGUUGGAUUAAGAUUAUAAUUUGGUGUAGAAGCUAAAUAUAUUGGUCUGUUC
rnacentral:rRNA from 1 species